rnacentral:rRNA from 1 species
GACAGAGGUGCCGAGCGUUAGGCGGAAUCACUGGGCUUAAAGCGUGUGUAGGCGGCGGCGUAAGUACCUUGUGAAAUCCCAAGGCUCAACCUUGGAACUGCCUUUGAUACUGGGGAUCUUGAGUCCGGGAGAGGUGAGUGGAACUGCGAGUGUAGAGGUGAAAUUCGUAGAUAUUCGCAAGAACACCAGUGGCGAAGGCGGCUCACUGGCCCGGUACUGACGCUGAGGUGCGAAAGCGUGGGGAGCAAACAGG